CUUGGUAAAGCUCUCUCUUGGAAGUCGCUUUGGAUAAAAGCGUCUGCUAAAUGAAUAAAUGUAAAUGUGCAUGCUCUUAAGAUGGACCAUUUCCACAAGCCAAAGCAACCACGGACUCUUUAAAAAAGAAGAUAGAUAUAGCUAAACUUCCAACCCCUUCCCGGCCAAAGACAGCAAAAAGUAUGGAAAAAAACCAACCAAGUCACUCAGACUGGAAACUCCUCAGAGUCAAAAAGAUCCAUUCCCAAACCCUCCACCUCCCACCCUGGCAAUAGAUGGAACUGAUGAUGAACAACCUGAAUCCCAGAACUCCAUAACGCUGACCCAGCAUUUUGUCGAAGAGACAAGAGACCCUCUUGGCCAGCGACAGCUUGGGAGCCAAGAAACCUGCAAGAUACACUACAAGUUCUCCUUCAAAAGGUGGAGAUAAUUGAAUCAAGUCAGAGGGAGAUACUCCUUCUGUUGCGCAGAAGCCAGGGCAGACAAAGCGAGGAGCCAGCACUCAACUUUAUUGCGGCACAAUGCCUGGAAGAACUUAAGGAUCUUGAGGAGCGCCUCAAGAUAACCGAGUUCAGAAAGAGAGUGAUUCACCAUCUCAGCCUCACUGGGUGGGCCACUCCUGGCUAGUGCGUCAGGAGAGUGAUGCGGUCCGUGGCAAAAAAUGCUGUCUGGAGCUGCUACAGCUUCGAGGGGAAAAGGGAAAAGUUGCCCUUAAUUUGCACUACUGUGUGCACAACAACUAAAUAAGCAGUUACGAAAUGGAAGGCAGGGCUGAGAGAGAAGGAUGUUGAGAUGCUAAUAGUGGAGACUCUGAAGCAUGUUCCAGCACAGACCAUUAAGGCGCUACCUCAGACGGCCCGCGGGCCGGACGUUCCCCACCCCUGUUUUAGACCAACACUUAUUUUUUCAGUUUCAAGCUUUAAUUUAUAUAGACAUUUUUCUAAUUAACAGAACAUUUGGCCCUGAUGUAGUUCCAUACGACUGUAGACGAGCUGUAUUACGCACAGGAGUUCACAAGGGUAGUGACAAGGAACAGCUUCACUGUGCUGUUGCAGAAUGGACACAAUCACUGUAUACUACUACAUUGUAGUAGAGCAACAUGGUGGCAGAAAAUGUUUUGCUUUCGGAAGAAAGUAUUAUAUAUCACAUAAUACACUGAUUGACGUUGAAAAUGUAGUUGGUCUGAAAAGGGAAUUCCAGCGCAGGAAACAGAUAUUUAAUAUGACACUGUUCAAAAGAAAAUGGAUGCUAAUCUAUACCUCCAAGAUCCAGUAUGGAGGAUUGCAAAUUUAAGGGCUGAGUACAUUUUAAUUGUCAUGAAAAAAAUCUAUGAAUAUCUAAAGAGUGUUUCAA